AGUCCUGUAUUGUAGUGGUCAAGCAUGUCAGGCCCUGGACCUGGAGACGGAGGUUCAAAUCCUCCCAGGACUA
rnacentral:tRNA from 1 species